GAUGAACGCUAGCGACAGGCUUAACACAUGCAAUUCGAGGGGCAUCAGGGUUUGUAGUAAUACAGAUUGCUGGCGACCGGCGCACGGGUGAGUAACGCGUAUGCAACCUACCUAUCAGAGGGGGAUAGCCCAUUGAAAGAUGGAUUAAUACCUCAUAAUACAUGAUUUCCGCAUGGGAGCUAUGUUAAAGAUUAAUUGCUGAUAGAUGGGCAUUCGUUCCAUUAGGUAGUUGGUAAGGUAAUGGCUUACCAAGCCAUCGAUGGAUAGGGGUUCUGAGAGGUAUGUCCCCCACACUGGUACUGAGACACGGACCAGACUCCUACGGGAGGCAGCAGUGAGGAAUAAUGGUCAAUGGGCGAGAGCCUGAACCAACCAAGUCGCGUGAAGGAUUACUGCCCUAUGGGUUGUAAACUUCUUUUAUAAGGGAAUAAAAAGGGGAACGUGUUCCUUGUUGUAUGUACCUUAUGAAUAAGCAUCGGCUAACUCCGUGCCAGCCGCCGCGGUAA
rnacentral:rRNA from 1 species